AGGGUUUGAUCAUGGCUCAGAUUGAACGCUGGCGGAAUGCUUUACACAUGCAAGUCGAAUGGCAGCACGGACUUCGGUCUGGUGGCGAGUGGCGAACGGGUGAGUAAUGUACCGGAACGUAUCCAGUAAUGGGGGAUAACUAAUCGAAAGGUUGGCUAAUACCGCAUACGCCCUACGGGGGAAAGCAGGGGAUCUUCGGACCUUGCGUUAAUGGAGCGGCCGAUAUCUGAUUAGCUAGUUGGUGAGGUAAGAGCUCACCAAGGCGACGAUCAGUAGCUGGUCUGAGAGGACGACCAGCCACACUGGAACUGAGACACGGUCCAGACUCCUACGGGAGGCAGCAGUGGGGAAUUUUGGACAAUGGGCGCAAGCCUGAUCCAGCCAUUCCGCGUGAGUGAAGAAGGCCUUCGGGUUGUAAAGCUCUUUCGCAAGGGAAGAAACGAUGCGGACGAAUAAUCUGUGUUAAUGACGGUACCUUGAUAAGAAGCACCGGCUAACUACGUGCCAGCAGCCGCGGUAAUACGUAGGGUGCAAGCGUUAAUCGGAAUUACUGGGCGUAAAGCGUGCGCAGGCGGUUUUGUAAGUCA
rnacentral:rRNA from 1 species